GAUGAAGAACGUAGCGAAAUGCGAUACGUAAUGUGAAUUGCAGAAUUCAGUGAAUCAUCGAGUCUUUGAACGCACAUUGCGCCCCCUGGUAUUCCGGGGGGCAUGCCUGUCCGAGCGUCAUUGCUGCCCUCAAGCACGGCUUGUGUGUUGGGCCUCCGUCCUCCUCCCGGGGGACGGGCCCGAAAGGCAGCGGCGGCACCGCGUCCGGUCCUCGAGCGUAUGGGGCUUCGUCACCCGCUCUUGUAGGCCCGGCCGGCGCUUGCCGACACAUCAAUCUUUUUUCCAGGUUGACCUCGGAUCAGGUAGGGAUCCCCGCUGAACUUAAGCAUAUCAAUAAGCGGAGGA
rnacentral:misc_RNA from 1 species